CAAUACGCAGUAAUGUUAUGUUGUAACUAGCUGUAGCCUUAACUAGUCGUAGCCUGAAUAAAAGCAACAAGAAGCCUCAGGGCCAAUGUCCCAUUAGAUCCCAGUGGAACUUUCUCUAGUCCGCUCUCCUCUACUUCAUGGUUGCUGCCGAAUGAAGUGCCGGCCCUUCCUGGAGGCUGCGGAAGGAUACGGAAGUGGCUGCUUUGAUGACGUCAGUGAGUCGAAAAAUGACUGUUAUGCCGGGAAUCUCCCACGUGUGAAGCCGCCUUGGGCGGAGGGUUGCGAAACGCCGAGAAGGGCGGAGGGACAAAGGGAAGGAUGUUUACGCCCUACACCGCUGGAGAAAUUAUGCCGUUUAGCUGGUAUUGCACCACCUGAUAUCUACCGGGACGUAGCAGCCAGCAAUGAAAGGACCAAGGCAUUGACUCUCCAUCCCAUCCUUUGUUUGGAUAUCAGCCAGCAAGCCAACACCUUAAAUCAAGAAAUAGCUUCUUUAGAUCUACAGAGAUACUCACAGGAACACCUCAGCAAGCAAGAGUCCAAAAGUGGCAGGCCAAAACCCAGAACCGAAACCGGAUGAGAAACUCCCUUCUGAGCACACAGAAGAUUGGGCGACUUGGAAGGUGCUGAACAUACUGCGCUUUGGCACCACAAGAUGCAGAGCCAACCUUAAGAAAUGGGGCUCAAAGUGGAGUCCACGACAUGUGAAUGUGGAGAAGAGCAAACCACAGACCACUUACUACAAUGCAAAGCCCUGCCAUAUGCACAGUGGAGGACCUUCUGACUGUAACACCAGAGGCACUUGAAGUGGCCAGUUUCUGGUCAAAGGAAAUUUAGUAUAAUGACAAAUGUUUUUUUAAACUCUGUGGUUUUUAACUGUGUUUGUGUUUUUUAACUUUGUUUGUGGUUUUUAAUACAUUAUAACUAUACCCUCAAUUUGCUUCUAACACAAUGCAUACAUUUCAUGGUGAUGUGUUUUCACUGUGUUGUGACCUGGCUGUAGCAGUGAGCAGAGACAGGUAACUAAUAAUAAUAAUAUUAAUAAUUACAUAAUAUGCAAUAUAGUAUCAGGCCUAAUUUUCAUAGUAACUCUCAAACAACCAGAAACUACAUUAAUGAAAGGAAGGUCUUCCCUCCAUGUCCAUGGAUUCUACAUUCACUAUCCAUGGCUUGAAAAUAUUUAAAAAAUAAAUCGAAAAAGCAAAGUUUGAUUUUGCCAUUUUAAGUAAAGGAUACUACUAUAAUAAUGAUAAUAAGACAUUUUAUUUAUUACCCAUCUCUCCUGAUGGUUCGAGGUGGAGUACAAUACAUUUAAAAAUAAACAUUAAAAUACAAUUAAUUAUAUAGAUAAACACAUACACACACACCCAUAUAUGAAAACAUACCAAACACAGAUGCAGAAUUGACAUAAUAGGGGCAAUAUAAUGUAAAUCAAAACUUGUACACAUCAUUGCAUAUAAUGUGACUUGAGCGUCCACAGAUUUUGAUAUCUGGCCUUAGCAGAUAUCAAGGGUUCACUAUAUCAAUUUAAGUUCUUAUCUAAAAAAAUCAUUGAAUAAUCUAAUUUGAUCAGUGCUAUUCAUAUUCCACAUUUUCUUCAAGGAGCAAAAGUCUGUGUUUACUUUCCUCCUGGCAGUAUCCUCACGACAAGAUUGUUAGGUAGGUCAGACUAAGGCCCCUUAUACACUGCCAUAUAAUUCAGAUUUUCAAAUCAGAUAAUGCACAUUAUCUGUUUUGAUCUGGAUUAUAUGAGUCUGCACUGAUAUAUAAUCAGGUUCAAAGCAGAUAAUCUGGAUUUUAUAUGGCAGUGUAGAAGGGCCUCAACACUGCCAUAUAAAAUUCAGAUUAUCUUCUUUGAGCUGGGUUAUAUGGCAGUGUAGAAGGGCCUCAACACUGUUAUAUAAAAUUCAGAUUAUCUUGUUUGAGCUGGGUUAUAUGGCAGUGUAAAACGGCCUAAGAGAGUGAAGGCCUUUAGUGGAUCAUAGAUCUCCUUAUUCAACACACUUAAUCAUUCUAUUGUUAUUGUUUGUGUGCCUUCAAGCUGUUUCCAACUUAUAUAAACAUGAAGGUGAACCUAUAUCGCAGGGUUUUCUUGACAAAUCCGGAAGAGGUUUGCCAUUCCCUUUUUUUGAGGCUGAGAGCGUGUGACUUGCCCAGGGUCACCCAGUGGAUUUCAAGGCCAAGCAGGAAUUUGAAACCUGCUCUCCAGAGUUACAGUAUAUCCCUAUUCAAGCCACUACACAACACUUGCCUUCCAUUGUAUAUCGAAACAACACUUCUGAAUAUAUGCAGACUGAAUGAACCUAAAUACUCUAAAGCAGGCAUGGGAAAAUGCCUGUUCAUGCCUGUUCUAAAGGCACCAGGUCCUGUGUGAACUUGGAAGCAAAGCAGGGUCAACUGUGGUUAGUUACUUGACAGUUAACUCCCUCUGCUUCAAAAAUGCAUUUUCCCCUGCCUGCAGAAACCCAUGCACACUCAUUUUUUCCUUGACGCUGCAACUGGUAUAAUAUGUUCUAGUUUCAUCUCUAAUUCCUUUUAUGUUUGUGUACAGAUAGUUUUAUGUUGUGUGAUGACAUAGGUAUGUGGUAAAGAAAUACAUGUUCCAAUACUCAGAACUGUAUGUACUGGAGACAGAGAAUCCACCCCGUUGUUUACAGACUACAUACUUUCCACAUACAUUGCUUAAGAGCUUAUUCACUCAGAGUAUACAAAGACAUCCGUUUUCAGGCGUGUCAUUUGAGAUUUCAGGACAAGCCAAAAUCCACACUGGAAGGGAAGAAAAGAAAAGCAUUCAGGGUACAAAGGGGGAAAAUGCCUAAGGUAACACAGAAUCAGGUCAAACUCUUGGGAACAUUUGUCUUAUAUCUCCUGGGGGUACAUCGAACAAUUAGCACUGAACCAUUGCACUUAAAGUGAGGUCUGAAAGGAGUAGGGAGAAAAAAGUUGUAGUUUUACAAGGCCUUUAACCUCUGCCAAAUAAUGCUGACACCUCACCAAACUACAACUCACACAAAUCCAUACCACUGACCUGUUGCAAUCAAAGUGAAGUCAAACUGCAUUAAUUCUACAGCCAAUACACCUUUAGACUUCUUAAGUGUCAGAGUGAAUCAGUCUAAUGAAUUUUGCAUAACAUUCACUUUUUAAUGAAAACAUGUACAUAUAGUAUUCCCCCCAUUCCAGACACAAAGGAACUUCUGUUUAUACAGAAGAACAAACAAAAGUUUCCAUCCAAAACUAGAUUGGAUUACAGAGAUAACAGCUUGCUGAACAAGGACAUUUCAGUUCCCUUAUCUCUCCUACUCCUUUCCUCCCCUCUUAUCUAUGUGACCCUUAGGUUUACAGUUAAUGGUGUUUCCCCCCACAUCACCAUAACAUAAACAUACUUUGCUGGUUAGUUUUAAAGGUACCCCAAGGUUCUUGUUCUUAAAAAAAACUUGAAUUUGAUAACAUAAGAUUGCUUUUUUCAGUCCAACUACAAACAAAUCAGAUUCUCUGUGUGAACUAGGAUUAUGUCCAUAGUUCUAUGUGAUCUAUAAGAUGCACUUAAAGCCGAAAUCAAGCCUACUACAUUCUGUGAUAGGCUGAAUUUUUUAUCAAGUCUGUAUUGUUGACAGUGCAGAACUAUAGAUUAGUAGUUUGCCAUCCCCAUUUUGAUAGUCAGUGAUUAUGCGCCAUCUAGUGGCAUUACUUGGGUUCACACAAUACUUCUUAAAAAUGCUGUUGACAAUGGAAACUUUUUCCAGUGUAAUUGCAUAUCUAUGACAGCAGUGGAAUCAAUGCUAUCAUUUCAUAUCCAGUGCUAUCUAAGGUCCACUUUAGGUCCUAAUCCUAAAACUCGUAACAAUCUAGAGGGGAGAAAUCUGUGCUAUUUGUCCCAUAUACUAAAGGAUCCUAUUUCCUGCAUGUGGCAUGCAGGGGUUGGGGUUGCACAGCAUUCUUCAGUAAGUGAACUUGAGAUACGCCAUGGCACAAUGGUUGAGCAUAUGCUUUGAAUCCAUAAAUACUUAAGAUUCAAUGCUUGGCCCCUCCAGGAUGGUGAACAAUUGCAAAAAAAAAAAUUGAUUCUAAAAUUAAGUUAUCCAUUUAAUUUGGCAUAAGGUAACUUUAUAUGUAAAGCUAAUUCAUCAAAAGAGAUAGAACAGAGUUAUUUAUUGAUACUGGUGCAUAUAUAUUGGGGGGCCAGGGUGAGGGAGAGAAGACAGUGUUACUGCUCCAGGUCUGAAUUUCAGAACAUAGAGAGCACACUACUGUGAUUCUUGUCAACUUCAGAAUGAUUUUAUAACAACUCUUAUUGUUCAAUAGAAUGGAAGAAAGAAACCUCUUGAUUCCAUAUUCUACAACAUUAGAUUGAAAUUAUUGAAGAGUAAAAAAAAAUCAGCCUUAAAUUCUGAAAAAUGUACAUACAGUAUCAGUAUUAUAGGCUUAGAAUUUCCAAAGAAAGGAAACAUAUGAUCUUUAGCUUCUUGAUAAAGAAUAUCAGUAAAUGUGUUGUCGAAGGCUUUCAUGGCCAGAAUCACAGGGUUGUUGUGUAUUUUCCAGGCUGUAUGGCAAUGUUUCAGAAGCAUUCUCUCCUGAUGUUUCAUCCACAUCUAUGGCAGGCAUCUUCAGAGGUUGUGAGCCUCAACCUCUGAGGAUGCCUGCCAUAGAUGUGGGUGAAACAUCAGGAGAGAAUGCUUCUGGAACAUGGCCAUACAGCCCGGAAAACAUACAACAACCCAAUAUCAGUAAACUUUAAUGCAGCCCUUUGCUUGAGUUCUAAACUAUCAGAGUUUGGAAAGUUUGGAAAGUUCUUAAAAUAUUUGUUACAGUUGCUGUUCUAGUGCCCCCCAAAGUAUAGUUGCUGUUAAAGUUGCAAUUUUAGGAAUAAUAUGUACACUUUCAGUUACUUUUUUGGAGAAACCUCUGACUGCUACAAGACACUGGUCUCUGAUAGAAAACAUGCUUCCUUCUGAUCCACUUUGCUACGAACCCAAAAUCCAUAAGAAAGCAUGAGGCAGCAACACGAGGUCCACUUGAACCAUGGGAUAUUUUUGCUCCUCCAUUUAGUAAAACCUUACUCCCAUAACUGUAAAGUAACAUGAGUGGAGUGAUACUGUCCCCUAAGUUACAGUCAAAAUCAAUAUCUUCAUUAUUGAUAAAAGGAACUACUUCUUUACAAUUACCAUCAUUUCUUCCAAGUUCGAGCUAUCUAGACUUUUCACUUCCAAACUCUUACAUGAAUUUCAGUUUCACAAAAAGGUUAACAUUGUCAGAAAUUUUGUAACAUAAACAUGGUGUGCUGACAUUCACUUUAGUCAUGUCUCUUUUGUUACAAUUAUUACCUUUGCUGCUUUCACUCCUGAGCACUUAGCAAUUAUAUGCAUGAGACUUUGGGACUUUCUGUUCAGUGUUUUCUUGUUAAACUAGAAACUCAGGAAAUGAAACUUGAAAAACUGGGGUGCCUGGAUGUAUAUACAAUAUCCCCAGGGUAGUCCUUUCAGCUCUCAUUGACCCUGAAAUUUUCCUUUACAGAGUAAUGGAAAUCAUCAUGAUAGUGUUAUGAAAUUUGUGUUCUGGAAGAGGUAAAGCAGAGAAUUGAUUCUUUGAUUAAGAAAAGCGUGCUGGUAAACUAUGUAUAUUUGCUUGGAAUCAGCACAUCUUUCUUUUAUUGACUGUCAUUCUCUCAUGCAUUUCUUGAAUGAAAAUUAAGCCACCUUGCAAACUGCUUUAUGUCUGGUAAUUUGACAGUGGGACUUAUAAAUAAACCUUCAUGAGAUAA